rnacentral:rRNA from 1 species
AGGGUUCGAUUCCGGAGAGGGAGCCUGAGAAACGGCUACCACAUGUACGGAAGGCAGCAGGCACGAAAAUUGCCCAAUCCUGAUACGGGGAGGCAGUGACAAGAAAUAACAACUCUCAACUAUGUUGAGAAGUGUAAUGAGGAUAAUUUACAAACCUUACCGAAAGCAAUUGGAGGGCAAGUCUGGUGCCAGCAGCCGCGGUAAUUCCAGCUCCAAUAGCGUAUAUUAAAGUUGUUGCAGUUAAAAAGCUCGUAGUUGAAAUUCUGUUCGUAUGGGCCUCUGCACUUUGAUGCGAAGGUACCAGCGGGCAUCCGCUUGCAAAUACAUGUCCUUCCUUCAUCGGUUGGCUGUAUGAGCAAGCAAUUUACCUUGAGAAAAACAGAGUGUUCCAGGCAGGCUUGUCCGGAAUGCAUUAGCAUGGAAUAAUAGAAUAUGACUGAAGUCGAUUUAUUGGUUUGAGGCUUUAGUAAUGACUAAUAGGAACAGUCGGGGGCAUUAGUACUUGUCAGUCAGAGGUGAAAUUCGAGGAUUUGACAAAGACUAACUGAUGCGAAAG